GGAAGUAAGAGUCGUAACAAGGUUUCCGUAGGUGAACCUGCGGAAGGAUCAUUACUGAGUGGGGGACCUCUGGGUCCAACCUCCCACCCGUGUCUUUUGUACCAUGUUGCUUCGGCAGGCCCGCCUCGCGCCCGCCGGGGGCUUCUGCCCCGGGCCUGCCCCUGCCGAAGACCCUCUGAACGCUGUCUGAAGAUUGCAGUCUGAGUGAAAACACAAAAAUUAUUUAAAACUUUCAACAACGGAUCUCUUGGUUCCG
rnacentral:misc_RNA from 1 species